rnacentral:rRNA from 1 species
GACGAACCGUGCAAACGUUGUUCGGAAUCACUGGGCUUAAAGGGCGCGUAGGCGGGCUUCAAAGUCGGUGGUGAAAUCUUUCGGCUCAACCGGAAAAGUGCCGCCGAUACUAGGAGUCUCGAGGGAGGUAGGGGUCGAUGGAACUUUAGGUGGAGCGGUGAAAUGCGUAGAUAUCUAAAGGAACGCCGGUGGCGAAAGCGAUCGACUGGACCUCUUCUGACGCUGAGGCGCGAAAGCCAGGGGAGCAAACGGG